rnacentral:rRNA from 1 species
AACGAACGCUGGCGGCAUGCCUAACACAUGCAAGUCGAACGAGACCUUCGGGUCUAGUGGCGCACGGGUGCGUAACGCGUGGGAACCUGCCCUUAGGUUCGGAAUAACUCCCCGAAAGGGGUGCUAAUACCGGAUAAUGUCUUCGGACCAAAGAUUUAUCGCCUUUGGAUGGGCCCGCGUUGGAUUAGCUAGUUGGUAGGGUAAAAGCCUACCAAGGCGACGAUCCAUAGCUGGUCUGAGAGGAUGAUCAGCCACACUGGGACUGAGACACGGCCCAGACUCCUACGGGAGGCAGGAGUGGGGAAUAUUGGACCAUGGGCGAAAGCCUGAUCCAGCCAUGCCGCGUGAGUGAUGAAGGCCUUAGGGUUGUAAAGCUCCUUUACCCGGGAUGAUAAUGACAGUACCGGGAGAAUAAGCUCCGGCUAACCCCGUG